rnacentral:rRNA from 1 species
CCUACGGGUGGCAGCAGUGAGGAAUAUUGGUCAAUGGACGGAAGUCUGAACCAGCCAUGCCGCGUGCAGGAAGACGGCUCUAUGGGUUGUAAACUGCUUUUGUACAAGGGUAAACCUGAAUACGUGUAUACAGCUGAAAGUACGGUACGAAUAAGGAUCGGCUAGCUCCGUGCCAGCAGCCGCGGUAAUACGGAGGAUUCAAGCGUUAUCCGGAUUGAUUGGGUUUAAAGGGUGCGUAGGUGGAUUGAUAAGUGAGAUGUGAAAUGUCCGGGCUUAACUCGGGAACUGCCUUUGAUACUGUUGUUCUAGAGAGUAGGUGCGGUAGGCGGAAUGUAUGGUGUAGCGGUGAAAUGCUUAGAGAUCAUACAGAACACCGAUUGCGAAGGCAGCUUACUAAUCUAUAUCUGACGUUGAGGCACGAAAGCGUGGGGAGCAAACAGGAUUAGAUACCCCUGUAGUC